UGAUCAUGGAACUGAAGUGUAAAGCGGGAGAAGGCCCUGUAAUAACUGAAGGAACUGAAAUAGGAAUGGGUCAAGCAAAACCCCUUUCUCACCACUAUUGGAAUCCAAACACUUAACUCGGUUACUUGAUCUAUCAUCUCCCCCUUAGACAUAAGCCAUCGCUCUGGGUCAGUAACACACUAUACACUUUAAUCUAAACUAAAGUCACUUCACUCGAGAGUCCGAUACAUAAUCACACACAUAAACAAUAAAACUUCACCCAAUUGACUACCUCAGAAUGCAUAUAACCAUAUCCUCACACAACUUCUUGAAUUACCACCUAUCCUUCUAUAACCCCAAUAAUCAACACCUAACACUUGCACACUUUCUAAUCACUAAUCCAUAUAGACAACCCGUAGUCGGAGUAUACACCAUCUAGAGCUUUAACGCUUUCAGCUCAACUUCAGAAUUUCAAUCUUAGAGUCUCAUUCUCAACUCAAAUUUUUCUCAGCCUUAACGAACCACACUACCUCUGUCAUCGCUUAUUAAAAUCAUACUUGUAAACUUAUAUUUCUAAACCAAAAAAUCAAAAUCACAUCUAAGAAGCUCAAUCUUUACAGUCAUACACUAAUCCUUGAAAUUAAAGCAGUCCCGUAAUAUCUUGGGUGAACUUUCUCAUCACAACUAAAACAUCAAACUUAAUCACGAAUCAACCAAACUUAGGCUCUUAUAUCCACUAUUUAAGCCAACUACAUCACUUCCUAACAACUAAUACCAUUAAUCAAGAAAUCAUCAUAGUCACCUUCACGAUCACCAAUCAUUCAAACUUAACUUUUAGCACACAAUAUAAGUUAAAACUUUUUGCACGAAAUUUACGCUUAGAAACUAUAAAACAAUCCUCAACAAGUUCUAUCCCAUUUAAACUUCAUAACAAUAAUAAUUGGUGAUAAUCAUAUAGCUUAUCUCAUUCACAAUCCAUUAACACAUCCAUCUUUCACCCGUCACUACUAUCUAUCCUUCAUACACAACUUAACUUAGUUCAUAGCUCUCUACGUCUUAACUUAACUUCUUCUUGCAACUUGGCAACGGCAUAAUUUAACAACACUCACCCACCGAGUACUUCCAUUACUAACCUAUACUCUCUGGCAUAUAAAUACCGUCAAUACCCAUUUCAUACCUCGAACAAACUACAUCACAAAAUUGACACACAAGGAUAUAUCACUCCCUAUUAAUCCCAAAUGUUUGCUAAAAUGGAUUACGCUAUACUUAUGCUCAACAAAUCACACUUACCAUCCUUCUUACUACUACACCUCCAAAUCCCACAUUUUUAGCCAGCACAAGGAAAAAGAUGAACUACAAGUUACUAGUGGAUCAAAAUAGGCCACACACGGCUCCACUAGGCUUUGAAUAUGAGCUUUGAAAAAAGUUUGAGGUGAAUAACAAAACAGCUGUGCUAGUUAAUCGAAAAAUCCCCACACGGCUUCACAAGACUUUUAUUUUUUUUCAACAGCAUGAUGAUAGCAAGAUUAUGGGAGAUAGGAACUUGAAAUACCAUAUUCAAUGAUCAAGGAGUACGCAUCCACUCAGUCUUAGCUGAACAAGUCAUAAAGAAAAGGACAUAACAUGAAACUUCAGGAACUUAUAACACACUGGGAGGCUCUUAUGAAGCCACUUUUAUGAGACUUCUAAAACAUUUUGCUAAUCAGUCUGAAAAUAUUAUCAGGGAAAGAACCGGGACUUGCUGCUCAUACUAUCUCAAGAAUAGCACAUAGAUAGUAAAGUACAAACUGUCACUUAUAGAUCCUGAAAAGAAAUUUGGUAGAUUAUCAGGUUUAAACUUAUUGCACGAUUCAAGACUUGAAAAAACAGCAACCUUUCCUAAAUUCUUAUAGCCUCUCGAAGAAAACUACAAACGUCUUUGUACCAUUCCGUAAGACUCUACUAGACAUGGCUUCGUAGACACCCUAGGACACUUGAACUCUGUGCUGUGAUACCAAGUUUCUAACGCCCCAAAAAUCUAGUCCCAAGACAACACACGGUGCUUAGGGUCACAAUGACCCCAAGCUAACCCUUUUAUAGGUAUAACUCAAAAGCAGCUGAUUUAAAACAUAAUUCUGAGAGAAUGUAGCUGAAAAUAUCUCAAUAUAGAAUCUAUUAAAUAAAAUAUUGAAAUUACAAGAUGAUAAUUCUACUAAUAUAUAUACAUAUACAAGAAAGAGACUGAAUACAUCAACCACUACUACUGUCUAUGAAGCCUCUACUAGUAUUGCCUGUACAAAAACGGGUCAUGACUCCCAACCAUCCCACUCAAUAUGGCCAACAGAAGAAGAUACAGUGUCUCUGAACNNNNNNNNNNNNNNNNNNNNNNNNNNNNNNNNNNNNNNNNNNNNNNNNNNNNNNNNNNNNNNNNNNNNNNNUAUGUGGGGGUGCAUGCAACACUUUAAAUAACACCAUCAAUUUCAUGAAAACAUGCAUACAGACAAUGAUGACUCACUUGGCUUGAGUUAUAUCAAAUCAUACUCUUCAUACUUUCAUAAUAAAUAGUUCAAAUGGUAAAAUCUCAUAAUCCAUGUAAAUCAUCAAAAAUCAUAAAUUAUGAUAAGUCAUUAUAAAUUAUCAUAUCGUCAAAAUUCAUCAUAGGUAAUCAUAAUUCCUCAUAAUAUCUCAACUCUUUGACUCAAAUCUCGGAGUGACUCGGUAAUUCAAGAAACAUGACUUUUAUAGACAGGGAAGUUUCCUAUAACCGACAACCCCAUGUGAGCUACGUCGAAUACCAAUGUUUGAAACCUCUAUUGGUGGAAGCGUCAUACUCUUUGCCAGGGAGUAUGACCUUAAUACAACAAUAAUCACAAUCGGGCUCUCUGGCCAAUAAUAUCAUCAUCAAAAAACCCUACGGGGGCACAUAGGUUUGGGGAAAUACCAAAUUUCCUUCUCGGUGCUAAGUACUACUCCCCAACAAGCUCAAAACGCGUUACAAAAUCCACCAUCAUCAUCACAAGGGUCUAUCAUAAAGACCAAAAUAAAUAUCUUAAUUUAUAAUUCAUCAACAAUUUGUGGAUUCCUAACCCCAACUUCGACUUAAAAGAUUUCAAUCUUUUUCAACAUCAACAAGGUAUCAAGGCAGGGAACCAUAACCGACUCAACAUUUGGACAAGGAUAUGAAGACUCAAUACGUAAUAUUUUCAACAAUUCAACUAAUCAAAAUCAUUCAGAAAAAAAAAUAAUAAAAUUCAUCUCAACAACUAUAUCAAAAUCAAUCUUUCUCAUAGUCAAAAUCAUCUCGACUCUGCAAGUUCAAGGUCAAUGUACUCAAAUGAUUAUUCUUUCAAUUUGACAAUUAAAUCAUGACAACAGCUUUUGAAAAGCACUUGAGACCUUCAAUACAUAAUAAGAAUACAUAUCCUGUUGUACAACUCAAAUCACGACUUUUUUCUCGAAAGCCUUUAGAAAUAUCAAUUCAUUGUAGUAGUAUGCAAUUCAUAGCAUAAAUUCUCAAUUUAAGAAGUAGAGUAAUGAAGUAAUCAUGUAUAUCCAUAUUGGAAAAAUUUUCAAAGUCUUAUAUAAAUCCUUCAUAAAGUAAUUUGAGUGUAUACCCAUUUUCGAAUAUCAUGAAAUUUCAAUAAUAGAACUCAANNNNNNNNNNNNNNNNNNNNNNNNNNNNNNNNNNNNNNNNNNNNNNNNNNNNNNNNNNNNNNNNNNNNNNNNNNNNNNNNNNNNNNNNNNNNNNNNNNNNNNNNNNNNNNNNNNNNNNNNNNNNNNNNNNNNNNNNNNNNNNNNNNNNNNNNNNNNNNNNNNNNNNNNNNNNNNNNNAAAAUACCAUCUCGACAUACGUCCCAAAAUCAUUCAAAAUACCACCUCGUGGUAAAAGUGUGUAAUUCGCAAUGAUAAUUAUUAAAUCAUAUCAUGAAAACAUUGAGAUAAUCAUAUAAAUCAAAGUUUAUUCAUUCAACCAUCAUAAUCUCAUAAUCGAAUUAUUUAGACGUAAUCUCACUUGCAAACUCAUGUAAAACCAUAAUAAAAUUAAAGCUUUGGGCAUAAGAACGGAAGAUUGCUCUUGUUCAAAACCCCACAUACCUUGAAAUUGAGCUCUUGAUUGUUGAAUCCUGUUCUUACAAAUAAAAGGUGCUCCUCGAAGGUCUCGAGAUGAUGAGUUCGAUUAUCGGAUCAAAUUUGAAUUUCUACGGUGAAAUUGAAAGAUAUUUGGAGCUCAAAAUAGACCUAGGGUUUAGUUCUCUCAAUGUUUUUUAUGGAAGAGCAUGAAUUUUAUGGCUCAAUAUAGGUAUAAAUGGAUAAUUUUAAUCCAUGAAGUGAAGGUAUACUGACCAAAAUUCCCUUAAAAAUUAAAUAAUUCUCGAAUAUGUCCUUUGGUGGACUAUUUUGAUAGUCUAUAGUAAUCAACCAUGACGUUUUACUCUGAUAUCCAAAUUGGAUGAAACCAAUUUCAUUAGAAAGAGAACUCUCAUAUCUUUCUAUUGAUAUAUAUAUAUUAUCUCACCCAUAUCACUGUGUACAUGGAGUUAUGAUUGUUUGAAGUUGACCCAAAAAUUCACUUUUGAUAUGCUGAAGUAGAUCGUCCAUAAAUUUUUGCUCUGAUAGACAAAUUGGAUGAAACCAAUUUCAUUGGAAAGAGGACUCGCAGAGAUUUUCGUUGAUAUAUACUAUAUCACCCAGAUCAUUAUGUACAAGGAGUUACGAUCGUUUAAAGUUGGAGUAAAAAUAUGCCAGGCCUCAAUACUUUUUCCUGCACAUUUUACUGUUCACAGUUCGAUCGGGAUGGUUGUAACUCAUCGCUCGAGUGUCCAUUUCAGAUGAUAUAUAUAUCAUUGGAAAGCUUAUUCUAUACUCUACAGAAUGGUAGGUCUAUAUAUUGGAAACAAUACAAAGAAAAUUUAUGGAUCGCUCUAAAGCAUAGAACUCAAUACGUUUCUCACGAAAUCUUUACGAAGAAAAUUUUUUAGGGAAUUACAUUAUCUCCCCCUUGGAAACAUUCGUCCUCGAAUAUCGCUUGAUAGGAUAAAAGCACUGAUCAACUACCUUCUUAAGGGACGAGAACAUCUGAGACAUAUCGGCACGAUUGGAAUUACAGUUUCCUAGUCCUCAUACUGAACAUGCAUAUCUGACACAUAAAUAUCUAGCUGAACUUACUCUGGAAUGUAUGAAUGCGUAUGCAACAAUAGUAAAUUCAAGGCUCGUAAUGAGAACUCAAGCAUGAACUAGAUGUAUUUAAAACACAGAAGCUUUAAGAAGUCAUGGGGUAUCUCCCCCUUGGGACUCUAUGUUCCUCUACAACACUUAUUUCACAGGGUCAAUAAGACUGUGCACAAGGCACCUAUGAAUUAGCUCAUAUGCAUGACGCACGAAUAGAGGUAUACUCGUAACUACUGAGAUGCUCCAUAUGGAAAUGAUUUCACUCCUAAGAUCCUUGGAUAACAUGAUGAAAUGAUAAAUGAGAAGGUAUACUAUACGAUUCUGAUUGACUGAGCUGGAAUACUUGGAAAACAAAGAUCGUUUAGUAGAAGUUUAUGAAUUGAAGCAUAACUAGCUUCCAGAAUCUGAAACAUGUACACCACAAUCCCUCAAGAUAACAACUUAAAACUUCAACUAACCAAACUAUACAUGAAAGCUUAAUCUCAAUCUUACUUCACAUUACCACUUAGCUCAAAAUAAGCAUACACUUUUCUAACCAAGAUAAGGAAACAUUUUCUCUCUUCUAUCUAGAUAACUAUUCAACAACACCCUUAUCCACAACAAAUACAUAUUUUUUCAUAUAACCAACCAUUCAUCAUCACUCUCUCACUCUACGAAACAAGUUAUCAAAGGGCUAGAACAUGCUGGUCUAAAAUAUGACUUGAUACGCUGAAUAACUUGACGUUCACCAAGACAUAAGGAAUAGAAGAUUUAACAUCAUCAACUCGGCAAAGAAAUUUGAUUUGGGAAUAUGCACGAUAUGAAUCCAAACUUUUAUUGAUCAUUAACAGAAAUGCUUUAUUUCUCGAAUAGAGCAUAGGGUAAGGCUAGAGUACCUCGAUUACUAGACACAUAACUUAAGAUUUGGAAUUCAUAACUUAUGGAAUUUAAUUCCACCGCCAAAAAAUAUCUGAAACCCCACGUAUUAAGAACUGAGAGAGAACAUGGUCCUUUAUGACAUGCACAGACUCGAAUUAUGAUCAUGGAACUGAAGUGUAAAGCAGGAGUAGGCCAUGGAAUAAUUGAAAGAACUGAAAUAGGAAUGGGUCGAGCAAAACUCCUUUCUCACCACUAUUGGAAUCCGAACACUUAACUCGGUUACUUGAUCUAUCAUAUCCCCCUUAGACAUAAGCCUCCGCUCUGGGUCAGUAACACACUAUACACUUUAAUCUAAACUAAAGUCACUUCACUCGAGAGUCCGAUACAUAAUCACACACACAAACCAUAAAACUUCACCCAAAUGACUACCUCAGAAAGCAUAUAACCAUAUCCUCACACAACUUCUUGAAUUACCACCUAUCCUUCUAUAACCCCAAUAAUCAACACCUAACACUUGCAUACUUUCUAAUCACUAAUCGACAUAAACAACUCAUAGUCGGAGUAUACAACAU
rnacentral:lncRNA from 1 species